rnacentral:miRNA from 2 species
UUUGUGUGUGUGUGUGUGUG